rnacentral:lncRNA from 1 species
GUCUUUUAUACCAUUUAGAGUUCAAAGGAUGGUCUUUACAGUCUGACAGAGCUAGAUCUGAAAUCUAAUUCUACCACUUCCUAGGUGUGUGACUCAGGGCAAGUAACUUCUGUCAGCUUUCUCAUCUAUAAAAUGGAGAUGUAAGACAAAAAUCUGCCUCUCAGGGUUAUAAAGAACAAAUAUGAAUUAGAUGUAAAGAGCUUGGUAAGUUCUCAAUAAAUUCUAUCUAUCUGUCCUUCACAGGUCAAGCUCCUGAUUAUAAAGUCUUUCCAGUCUACUCUGUCAGUGAUCUUCCCUUCCUCUAAAUACUUGACAUAUUUUAAUUCUACAACUCAUUUGAAAAUUAAUCGUGGUUUACACUGUGAUAUCUGUAUUCACAUAUCACUUUUAACAUUUUGAUGCUGAAAUUUAGGCUCAUAAGGAAUGAAAACUGUAAUUUAUAUCUACAAAUAUGAUGCCUCUAUAUUGUUGGAAAGGAUCUGAUAUCAAAUAUUUGGUCUCACUGACCUCUUAGGAACAUUCUUAUUUGUCUACGUAAGCUUAUUUUGAGAUUGUAAACGUAUGAUCAUCUUACUUUUACUUCUCUGUACAUGGCUUCUAGCACAAUACUUAACAUUAGAGUCUGUGAUCCCAAGUUCUCAAAAUUAAUGAUUUGCUGAUUGCUGAUGAUCCUUGACACAUAAUAUCUGAGCAUCUUUUUUAAAUAUCUGCCAUAACAUUGUAUCUAUUUUUAUUAAACCAUUUCCCAGUCUUCCUUGAAGUUUACAGAUAUGUUUGCUUUAUAUGCAUGUUCUGGGCUCUCACAUUUUGUACCUACUAGCACAGUUUUAUUAUAUUCUAAUUAUUCAUUCAUGUUCCUUGAGGUCAGAGAACACAGAUUUCAACUUUGCAGGCUCAGCCUCAGCUCAAAACCUGGCAUAGUUGCUCAAUAAAUCUUUACUGAUUAGACUGUGAGCUUUUGUUGGGAAAAGGAUAUGCCUUUUAAUGCUUUGUUCCUUUACUGCAAUUCACAGGGGAUGUUGGCUGUUUUUCAAAUUAAAAACAGAAAACUGAGGAGGGUAGAAUUUCAAGUUCCAUUUUCAAAGGAGACACACAGAUAAGUGAGAAUAAAAACUGUCUACGACAAUCAGCUCAACAACACGUCUCCCUUUGUAAGACAGAAUAACAAGCAAUUUCACAGUUAAGUGAUAGGGCUUGUCACUCUUCAGCAGUUUGCUGAGUUUUAACCCUUUCACUAUGGCGUUCUCUCCAUUAUUACAGAGAAAGGCAGAUGGGAGCCUCUCCCAGCGAAAAGACUACAGCUUGUGUCCUUCAUAGGAGAAAACAGUGAUGGCUCCAGAACUUUUAUAUGAAUGAACUUAGCACAGCUAUCAGAGUGGAUGGUGGUGGGAGGGCUAGCAGGAAACUAGUAAACAACUACAAGCUGCCCCUUCAGGGAAAGUUUCUACUUGGAAUAUAAGUUACAGAUUAAUGAAAAUAGAAAGAUUUCCCAAAGAUACUUAUUCUCAUGUUUUAUAAAAGAUCAGGGAAAUGUCAGCUGUCCACUUAACGGAUGACGAUAAUGAAUUAAGAGUUCGAUAGGCGGCAGGCACAACUAAAAGCCAAACUCGACCUAAGUCUUAUGAAAUCCUACUUAAUGAGCUUUCUUGACUACUGCUAGCCUCACUUAUCUGGCAGGAGUCGAAGGAGAGGAAGCCCCAAGCUCCUCUGUUCCACCACCUCCAAAGUCCUGAACCCCUUCUCAAGUGUCCCACUUCAUCCCUGCUUCCUUUCGUCCCGUGGGACUAAGCAUUCCUCCUGCCCUCACUCUCACCACUUGCUGUCCCUCAAAAAGCCGACUCACCCCUUUCCAAGCGCAGUGAACCGUCCGCAAAGCACGAGGCCGGUUGCGAGCUGCAGAAAGCCCACGCUCGCCAGCGGGACCCAAGGAACGCUAGAACUAUACGUCCCAGAACACUUAGCUUUGUUUUUAACUACGGUGCAGCCGCAAAAGGGAAAUACCGGCUCAGGACCCAGGGGAGUUGUAGUUCUCUAAUCCAAAGAAAUCAUUAUUUGGCAACGUACGGUUUUCAGGGGGAUAUACCCCGCGACUGCGUUCCUGUAGGAUGUGAGACAAAGAGAAUAAAUAUCCCCGGAUUGGGUGCUGGUGGGAAAAUUUGCUGGAAGCGCAGCAUUGGUUACCAAUUUUGUGCUCAAUCUCUCAGUACCAGGGUGAAAGUGGAGACGCAAUCUCCCUUGAAAGACGUUAGUCUCCAUCUCUAACGCUCCCGAGACACGGUUCGCAAUUAAUUAUGACGUCACAGCCAAUCGUCAACGCGAAAGCCUGACGCUCUAGCCGGCUCUAUCUCGCUGCCCCGCCGCGGGCGCAGAGCUGGCGCUCUAGCCCACGGAGUUGGUUAACUCCUCUCACCGGCCCCUGGAAAGGGUUCCAAGUGCUUUAGUACCCGACGCUGUCUGGGAAUUCCGGGCGUUUCGGCUCCUUGGUCGCAGAGGCAGGAGGGCGUGCGUGGCAGGAGGGUUCGGGUUAUAUACUCCUAGGUCCUGGGACAGAAUAGUUACGACCUCUGGGACAGGAACUCUUCUCUCUUUUGUUAAUAAACUUCCAACUCCCUCCUCAGACCCGACCGCAUGUCUGUCAUGGACCUCGCCAAUACUUGCUCCAGCUUUCAGUCGGACCUGGAUUUCUGUUCAGAUUGCGGCUCGGUCCUGCCUCUGCCCGGGGCUCAGGAUACGGUCACCUGUAUUCGCUGUGGCUUCAACAUCAACGUUCGGGGUGAGAGGCUUGUACGCAGGGGUCCUGGCGGAGGGCGCAGGGUCGGAAGCUUGGGGAACUCAAGAUCGGUUGGGUUGAGGAGGGGAUCCUAGAGCAGGACAUCAGGCGGUUGUACAUUUGGUCUAGCGAUGAAAACUGAGGGAAAGGAUGUAGGGCCUCCUGGCCUAACCAGCCAGGGGAAAGGGGAGGUUUCCGGUGUCAGCUCUCUCUGGUUGUCUCCAUAACCAGUUCUUACUUGCCUGUGCAGACUUUGAGGGGAAGGUUGUGAAGACUUCGGUUGUGUUCCACCAACUGGGGACAGCCAUGCCUAUGUCGGUGGAGGAAGGGCCUGAGUGCCAGGGACCUGUGGUAAGCUAAUGAGAUCAAGAACUGGCUCCAUAAGGUGGGUAGGAAAGAAAUGGAGGAGUGAUUGCAAAGCUCUGGAGAGUUUUGUGCCCAAUUCCAAGAGGGAAAAGAGAUGUAAACCAUCGACGUUUGAGAGGCGUGAUCGCCUGAUUCCUGUGGGAAGUAAGGGGAUAUGACCAGGCCUCCCUAACCCACCAGUUUCUUCCCAGGUUGACAGGCGCUGCCCUCGAUGUGGUCAUGAAGGAAUGGCAUACCACACCAGACAAAUGCGUUCAGCCGAUGAAGGGCAAACUGUCUUCUACACCUGUACCAACUGCAAGUUCCAGGAGAAGGAAGACUCUUGACCUUUUUCCUGGGCAACUCUGCAGUCCCUCCCUCCUUUCGGAAGGUGAAGGAUACUGGGUUUUUAGAUGCCUUGUCCAUCCUGUCUGGUUGCAAUGUUUUGCUCCCAGAAGAGAAUCAGAUCAUCAUGUGGGGAUUACCAUUGUUCCUGGAGUACUCCUACCCUUAGUUGAAUUUCCUUAUUAAAGUUAUAUUUUUCUAUAAGACCCUGACA